rnacentral:rRNA from 1 species
UACGUAGGUGGCAAGCGUUGUCCGGAAUUAUUGGGCGUAAAGCGCGCGCAGGCGGCCUCUUAAGUCUGAUGUGAAAGCCCCCGGCUCAACCGGGGAGGGCCAUUGGAAACUGGGAGGCCUGAGUAUAGGAGAGAAGGAGUGGAAUUCCACGUGUAGCGGUGAAAUGCGUAGAGAUGUGGAGGAACACCAGUGGCGAAGGCGACUCUUUGGCUAUAACUGACGCUGAGGCGCGAAAGCGUGGGGAGCAAACAGG